AUUAGCACUUAGUGACAACUACUUCGUUGUCUUUUAUUUUCUUUCGCAACAGAGCACCAGCCAAGGCAGUGCAGGACAUGUUGAAGUAAGUGGUGUAUGAGGACUGGCUCCUGGAGCUUUUUAAAAUCUGCCCCACCUGCUCCAGACUCUGAAAAGUUGACACAUUUGUUAAAGGAACAUUCCUCUCUGUAACCCAGAAAAGCCUCUACACGAGUGUCUCUUACUCAAGACUCCACAGCCCUGAUAACACCUGCUGAGAGUGAGAGGAGGGGAGAGGACACCAACUAGAGAACCCAGAACUAUGAGGAUGGGAGGAAGCCAAGGUACUCCUGGUGGAUACGGACAACAACGCAGGAAGGUAUCACUACCCAGUUGUGCUUUCCCAGGUAUCCCCAGCACCAGGAAACGAAGGAUGCCAGGUAGCGAGCACGCCUACAAUGACAAACCACAUCAUGAUCCCUAGAAGAUGAACGAUGGACCAACCUGCAGCGUGCCUGAAAUCUAUUUGGCUGUAUGGAUUGGCCUGGACAUGUGUUUUUUUUCUUUGUUUGCUUUUUUCUGAUUUAUUUGCCCUUGGUGGAUGACUGCUCUCUACUGAGUAUAUUCUCUAGUCAUUUUUGGAUGUUCACU